AUUAAAGUAGCAUCACUGGACCCAGCACGCCUUCACAUUUCAGUCCUCUGAUUUAUAGCAGCAUGUCACCAGUGAGAGAAAAGCGUGUGUCUCUUUAAAACUUUUUGUUGAAAUCUCCUCUCUUUGGAUUAUCUUUGUUUCUUGCAGUUUAGGGCCCCGUGUAACCAUAAGCAGCUGUCCUAGAGUCUGGCUGACCCUAAGCACUCCACUGUCUAGAGAACCAUGGAAGGCUACAGCCACAAGAUUCUGAGUGGGAAGAAGGCAGGACAGUUUUCCUAGAUGCAGGGACCUGGGAGGAAGCAUGUCAAAAGCAGCAGGGUUAUAUCCCGCAUGCUGUUUUGUACACGAAGAUCAAUGGUAGUAACCAAGAAGAACUUACGCACAGAGCAUAUUGAAAUAGCCACUUACCAACUUUCCUCUGCCAACCUGGUGGUAACGUGCCCAGCAAAAAGGCUUGAUUUCCCAGGCUCCCUUGAAGUGAGCCAUGGCCAAGUAACACGUUUCUGAUGAAUGAGAAGUGAGCAAAGGAGAGAGCAGCAGACCUUGAGAUGGGGAAAUUGAGUCCCAGAAAAUGAAGAAGCCAUGAAGGAUCUAUUGCCUUGAAUUCCGUUAUGAAAGCAGGUUGUGGGUCCGGCUCCGGAUGGCAGAGGCCAUGCUUCCUCCUCCACCUGGGGGCGCCCUCCAGCACUUUCAGGCCCGCUAGGCUCAUCGAGGUCCCAACCACAAAAGGAAGCCCAGGGAGAAGAGAUAUCACUCCAUGGACUGUAACCUUCCUGACGCCAGAGAUCACACGUGUUUUGCUCACAUUCCUUCAUUGAACAGUUGUUCACUGAGCGCCCACCCUCUGCCAGAUGCUUGGGAUACGUCGGGAAACCGAAGAGACAAAAGCAAAACAAAACUGUCAUCGAGCAA